AAGAAUCUAAAAGUAUUGAAAGAUAAUGGAUUAUUGAAGCUAACCAUUGGAUACUGCACUGUUUACGACUACAAAGAUGAGAGUUUGUGUUACCCUGAAGAAGGAGAGGCCUCAGAUGAGUACAUCUCUGCAGUCUAUACUAGUAGAGGCAUGUUGGAGCAGUUGCUUAUAGCAACAAGCAUACAGUUAAUGUACAGGGAAGAACAAGACAAAAAAGCAAGCCUCUUCAUCAGUUUAUUAUAUUGCCGAUUUUAUUUUUCAAUAGGAGAUUGAGGCUCUUGAGAAAAAAAUCGAAUUGUUAAAUGAGCAGUUGUCCUCAUUUCAGGAUUUAUCAGAAAAGAAGGAAGAUUAUCCUCUAGAAGAAGAAGAGACCCCUCAAACUGGAAAAAGUCAAAUGCUUGAAG